CUUAUUCUCUUAUCUUUCUAACCGAAAAACUAAUUAAUCUUUUAUUUUAAUAAAACCCAUGCCAAGUUAAAAUAUAUAUUUUUUGAAUGUUAUUAUUUUACUUCAAUUUUUAUGUGCAGAGUUAAAGUACUAAGUUAUCAAGGUGUUUAAAAUCAGAACAAGUUGACUUAAAUAUACAUAAUCACAUUAUUUAAUCUUAAAUUUAAACUUAACAAUAGAAUAUUUGAACGAGUUUACACUAAGAAUUGGUAACAAAGGUUUUGCUCAACAGUUUGUGAGUUUGAUUUCAAUAUGUUUAACAUGAUUUAGAGAACAAAACCUGGACAAUAUAUUUUAACGCCCAGCUUUUGAAACAACAAAAAAUUUACAAUCACUUUAUUAAAAUAUAUCUAAAUCAUUUACUGUUACAAAUUAUGUCAUCCUAUUUAUUCAGCCUAUAAAUAUUUUUAAACAUUUUAGGUUGGUUGCAGCCUAACAAAAUUGUGAAAAAACAAUAUUGAAUAAUUCUAAUUUUUUAAAAUUUUAUUUCCGUUACAAAAUUUAGUGAAUAAAAAUGUUUUAUAUUUAUGAGUUUGCCAUGAUUGCUCUGAUUGAAUCAUGGCAAAAUACUUAUUCAGUUCUAACUGUUUAUUAAAUAAGCUUGGGUCUUUAAGGCUUGACCUUGGUGAAUGCAGUAAAAAUAUUUAAAUAAGAUCUUAUGUGUAAAACACUUCAAUAUGCCUUUUUCGUAUUUUUUUCUUUUUUAGACUCACGUGUUGGCAGAAAGUUACCAAAAUAUAUUAAGGAGUUGAUUCAGAGAUAAUGUUGCUAAAAGAUUUGCAGUCGAUAAUCUUUCGAAAGCAGAAAAACUCAGUGUCAAACAAAGAAUACGCGAAUUAUUUGAGAUAUGAUGAAAAUUUGCAAAUAAAGUAAAAGUCAAACUAGUUUCAUUCUAAGUUAUUGUAUAUAAUUUUAAAAUUUUGGAAUAGAAGUGAUGCAAUGUU
rnacentral:lncRNA from 1 species